rnacentral:lncRNA from 1 species
CGGGUUAGCUGAGAAAUUAAUACGAAAUAGUGACGUGAACAUCCAAAAAUCAAAAUCAAAAUUUCGCCCAUUGGCAUGCAUCCCGAGGUGACUGGGCCCGUCGCUGGAAAAGUUUCGACAGUUAUGAAAAUUCGAUCCGAGCACACCAAAGGAAAGCGCACAAUCUCAAAAGUCCAGAUGUACAAUUAUUUUUACCAAAAAGUGGUCGAAAAAUCCUAGAUCGCCGUUUAAAGUUUUAACGCCGUUGAGCUUGAUCAACGAUGAAACAGAGGAUAUCAGGCCUGAGCUUUACUUUUCUAAGAAUUUUUCGGCAUGAGGAGCUUAUUUUUGGGAUCUGGUUGGCCAAAAGAGGUCGGCAAGAUACUAAACCAGCAAUGGCAGCGGUGAGAGACGUUUCUCUCUCUUCGAAGCACGCGGACGAGCGACUCUUGAUGUUACUUGGCGCCGGCGAGGGGUGGAGCGAGGCAACGAUGGCCUAAAAUGAGUGUUAGAUGGUGAAAGGAGGCUCAAUGCCAGUGAAUACGUGAAGCAAUGGGUGGGUUGGCAAUGGUGUAUGACGAGAGAGAAGGAGCAAGGUAGGAGGAGGGGCCAAAUUGAAAUAUUUAUUUUCUUUUUCAAAUUUCAGUUUUGUCCUUCCUUAUAAGAAAAAGAGGCUAUAUUAACCUUAUUUCUUAUAUAUAUAUAUUAUUAACUUCCAAUACUUAAGUCACUAAAAAUAUAUUUUAACUUUGAAUUAGUUAUAAAAUAAUAUAUUC